GAUGAAGAUCGUAGCGAAAUGCGAUAAGUAAUGUGAAUUGCAGAAUUCAGUGAAUCAUCGAAUCUUUGAACGCAUCUUGCGCUCCUUGGUAUUCUGAGGAGCAUGCCUGUUUGAGUGUCAUUAAAUUCUCAACUACACUGACUUUGAAUUGGUGUGGCUUGGAUUUGGGGGGAAAAUUGUUGUGGGCUUUUUGUAUAGUCUGCUCCCCUGAAAUUGAUUAGCGGUACCUUUGUGGAACUGUCUACAGGUGUGAUAAUUAUCUACAUCUUAGACAUCUGCUGGAAUGCUGCUUUCUAAACCUUACUUGUAUUGACAAUCUUGACCUCAAAUCAGGUAGGACUACCCGCUGAACUUAAGCAUAUCAAUAAGCGGAGGA
rnacentral:misc_RNA from 1 species